UAAAAUGGGAAGGGGAAACGGAGGGUAGAAAUUUUUGACCGUUUCCGCAAGUUCUAGGACAAGCUGGCUGGUGCACAGGUGGCCACGGAGAAAAGAUCUGAGGAAGGUGGGAGCCAGAGAGGAGCCAGAAAUGCAGUGCGGGACUGACAGCCCUUUAUAUACCUGACUCUUCCACACCUUGCACUCAGCUCGUACACAACAAAACGAUUGAGUUGAGUCUCUACGUUGUAUAAACCUUGCGCAAACUUCUACUCACGUCUACUAUUUGUGUUCUCAAUCCAAGGCUUGAGCUGCUAAGUUACCGCUACGUCUUCUCCUGCAGCCUUGCGCAAAGAUCAUUUCAUCGAUCGAGAUCAUGGCAUCCAGCAGCAACGUUAUGAGGUCCGCGGCGGUGGCGAUCGCUGUCAUAUCAAGCGUCGCAACUAUGGCCAACGCUCAGGCCGAGUCUCCCGCUCCACCACCAUCUUCCGCCGCCUUCUCGUUGAUGCCUUCCAUGUUGGCUCCCAUCUUGGGAAUGGCUUUCGCCUUCUUCGCAAGCCGCAUGGCAUGGUAAAGCAUGUCUCUCGCAAGUUUGCGUCGUUGUAAACUAACGCAUUUGAGACCCAAUUUAGUGAAGCCGCGUAAAUUGUUUCCGUUGGUAUGGCAGAGUUGUGGAAGUCCCACACAUCAGGCUAACGAUUUUGCCCACGGCGCGAGGCAUACAUCAGUUGUGCCUUGAAUGCAUAGGCUGAAAGCAUUUGUGUACAGAUUAGCAAAAGUGAGGGUUCUGUAUGUCAUUGAUUAUCAACUUCAAACAGUAGAUCUUAAGCUCCAUGCGGAGAAUAAACCACGGUGUAAUGCAUUGUUGAGCUUUUCGUUUUACAGCUCGGUUUUUCCAUGAAAUAAAGAGGAAGGAUUCUUUCCGUCUGCUUUCGCCGAU